GGGCGUUUAGCUCAGUUGGCUAGAGCACCUGCCUUACAAGCAGGGGGUCACAGGUUCGAGUCCUGUAACGCCCA
rnacentral:tRNA from 1 species